AUGGUACAGGUUGUUCUUCACUGUCCCCACUUAUAUUUCUCACCACUGGUUAAAAACAGACAAAGAGCUCUUAGAGAGUUAAGAUUCAUUUGUUUUUUUCCAGAUAUAUUCUUGGAAAUGCCAAUGCGGUUGGAAGUUCUACUUUGUGAAAGGUACCCAGGAAUUCACCUUGCCAGAAAGAAUGGCUGUACCUGCUAUCUCUCUUCUGUUUUGUAAACAACAGAAAAUCGAGAGUGCUGAGUUAAAGUCCUAAAAUCAACUUGGUCUCUGCCUGUUACUGCUGCUCAAGCACUCUUCAUUGUAGUAUGGAUUUGGUCCAAGAAGAUCAAUUUCCUCUUUUCUCAUAAGAUAGAGCAUAAUAGACAUCCACCAUUUAACUAGCUGCUUAAAAAUACUAUCCAUGGAAGAUGAUGUAGGUAAAAGCCUUUCAUCAUACCCACCUACUUGAAGCUUCACUUUUCUCUUUCUUUCAAAUAAACCUCCCAAGAAGCUUGUCCUGAGCGCCAAAAACUGAAGUACAUUCAUUGACUCCCAGAGACAGAAUUGGAGGGCAGACCAAAAAGGUCACAGAGUUCAGCCACCCCCACAAACACUCUCACUUCCGAGCUUCUUCUGGGUUAUGUCACCUCCCUUAGUUCCCAAUGGAAUGAGACAUUUAAAUUACAAAAGCUCAUUCAGAAACACAGACAGCUGCUGAUUUGACUUGGUCUCAGUAUUUGUGUUCCAGAGAGGGUCCUGGUUGUCUGGUACACUCCAGAAAAUUAUUAUAGAUGAUGCUAUUGGGUCAUGUGACACAUGGUUUAAAAAAUAAACAACCCUCUUGUUGACACAUGACCUAGAACUAAGACAGAGGCUGAUGAAAUAUUUGGCUCUGAGGAAAUGUCACUAGCUUUGUUUUUCUUAGCAUGGAAAGUCCAUUUAUUUUUUUCAUAUUAGGCUGAUUUUCAACUGUAUCAGCCUUAUGGUAUCUCAAUAAAUUGGACUACUCAAAAUGUGCUUUUUGCUCAGCAAGAAUAAGCUACAAAAGCUCUUUGAAAUGAGAGACUUUAAGAGCCAUUCUCUCUCUUUCUAUACUCAUACUGGCUGCUGGCUUGCUGACCUGGGGCUUUUUACCUGGUGGUCUG
rnacentral:lncRNA from 9 species